UGGGCAAAUAAGUUUGGCAUUAUGCAAUAGCGUUUAAUUCCUAUAUCACAAAAAGAGAAUUAUUUCAAAGAUAAUAGGCAAUCAAAACUCCAAGUAGUUGAGAUGGAAUGCAUAUAUCUCCAUGAUUUGGGAUGAAUCAUAAGAUGUGUGCAUAGGCAACCUACAGUACGACAGGAACUACAUUUAGCUAAAGCAAUAGGCGUGUACAAAUGCAUAAUAAUAUUCAUUGUUGAUG
rnacentral:lncRNA from 1 species